rnacentral:rRNA from 1 species
AUGGGGCCGGCGGUGGCGCCGUGGGAGGAACGGCGGACGCUGGUUCUGGUGAACCUGGCGUCCAUCAUGGAGCGCGCCGACGAGGCGCUGCUGCCGGCGGUUUGCCGGGAGGUCGGAGCCGCCCUGCACGCCACGCCCACGGGCCUCGGCGCGCUCACCCUCUACCGCUCCAUCGUGCAGGCCGCUUGCUACCCGCUGGCCGCGUACGCCGCUUCCCGCCACAACCGCGCCCACGUCAUCGCCGUCGGGUCCUCUGGGCCGCCGCGACCUUCCUCGUCGCCAUCUCCGAAACCUUCCUCCAGGUGGCGAUUUCCAGAGGCCUGA